CACUCCUGCGGGAGGCAGCAGUGGGGAAUUUUGGACAAUGGGGGCAACCCUGAUCCAGCAAUGCCGCGUGAGUGAAGAAGGCCUUCGGGUUGUAAAGCUCUUUUGUCAGGGAAGAAACGGUGGUGGCGAAUAACUACUACUAAUGACGGUACCUGAAGAAUAAGCACCGGCUAACUACGUGCCAGCAGCCGCGGUAAUACGUAGGGUGCAAGCGUUAAUCGGAAUUACUGGGCGUAAAGCGUGCGCAGGCGGUUGUGUAAGUCAGAUGUGAAAUCCCCGGGCUCAACCUGGGAAUUGCAUUUGAGACUGCACGGCUAGAGUGUGUCAGAGGGGGGUAGAAUUCCACGUGUAGCAGUGAAAUGCGUAGAUAUGUGGAGGAAUACCGAUGGCGAAGGCAGCCCCCUGGGAUAACACUGACGCUCAUGCACGAAAGCGUGGGGAGCAAACAGGAUUAGAAACCCGGGUAGUCCCAUGAU
rnacentral:rRNA from 1 species